UUGUGGUGCUGCAGCAACCUUCAGGACUAAAAGACAGCAACGAGCAGUUAUCAGCAGUGAUCGCUGAGAAAACCAGCCAGUGCUGUUUGGGACAACAGCUCCCCGGGGAAGAGAGUAGGCGGAGAAAAAAAAUAAAGAAAAGGUCACAUCAUGCACACCUACUCUUCAACAUCGACACCGUCUUCAGCUUUUCAGCCUACCGCUGCUAGAAGGAUUAGGACCGAUCUAUAGUCAGCACACAGGAGAGAUAUGGUGCUCUGUUAGCAUUAAGUAAGAGAUCUUACUUUACUCAAGGCUUCACAAUGAACAACAGGACACCUUUUUCGACAGAUAUUCAAGAGUUUGGUGAUGAAUGUCUUUGAGUGGGAUACUGCAUGGUCAAGAAGUUCGAGGGCACAUUUCCACAAUGUGAACAAAUGGUUUUUAACAAAUAUAUUGUCCUCAGCUCUCAUUUAUAUACAAGACGUGCAGUAUAAUAAUGUCUCUCACACAUUCCAUUUCACAUAGUAUCAUUAUAAACCCACUUCGUCAAGAACCACGGCUAUCACAUGAGCACCUAUCAUAUGUAAAAUGUAUAAGACAACUCAAAUAUCAAAUAAAAGCAAUCAAGCUUGCAUGUUUUGUAAUGUAACAAAGCAACUGAAAGAAAUGUCCAUCCAUCCAUCUUCAAACCACUUAUCCUGCACACAGGGUCACAAGGGGCUGGAGUCCAUCCCAGCCAACUUCGGGCAAUAGACGUGGUUCACUCUGGAUUGGUCACCAGCCAAUCGCAGGGCUACACAGAGACAAACGACCAUUC
ensembl:lncRNA